ensembl:lncRNA
AAAGGCCCUGCAGCCUGGCGGGGGUGAACUGCUAAGGCUCCCCAUGGAUUUUUGUGUCAUGGCAGCUGGGACAAACCUGAAGACAUCUGGACACUUGGGACAACUUUCCUCAUUGAUAUACCUGAGGUGAUCAUUGCCACACCUGGAUUAUCACAGGGAUCGAACUCAGGUCCUUGCACUUCUGCAGCAGGCGAUGAAACCACUGAGCUAAAUCCCCGGCCCUGAGGUCUUGGAAAGAUUUUCCCUGAAAGCUUUACCUUCAAGGCGACCCAGCUCAGGGCGAGCUGCAUGCGGCCUUCCCUGCAUACCCAGAAUGCCUGGGUCUCCAUUCAUGCUGACAUUGAGGCAGGGUUCCCCAGAAAACAGUCAUUUCAGGGUUGGGCCAUCAACCACACCUCUGCUCAUUCUGCAUGCAACUGCCCCAGCUGUCUAGUCAUCACAAUUUGGGGUUAGGGGUUUGGUUCCAGAACAGCAAACAGCAGCAGCAGCAGCAGCCCCAGCAAUUACUCUUACCACAUAGCCCAAGAAUAUUCCCAGAGUUGUCCCAUCAUGUUCAAUAUCUAGGCCAAUGCUUUUAGCUGUAUUAUCAAGCUUACUGCCAUUUAUAGAUUAAAAAGAAAACACAAAAAAAACCAACCCUGGGGCUAGAGAUUGCAACGUGGAAGACGAGGAUUUAUGUUUGGGUUCAAUUUCUGUAUCUGUACAUUGGAAAUAAUACAUACCACUUAGGGUUGCUGACAGGAUUAAAUAAAUGCUACGUAUGUGUUUACUUGUUUAUUGCCUAUUUUCUGCUCUAGACUAUAAACUCCAGCAAGCAAAGGCCUUCGCUUGUUCAUUGCUCUCUUGACAGAGCCUGAAAUCAGUGCCAGGUACAUAGCAGGUGUUCAAUAAAUUCUUUUUUUUUUU